AUAGUGGUCAGCAGACUUAAGAGUCCUAACACCUGGGCAGAGUUUUUUAUUUCUACCAGCAAAAAGCAUAUUUCUCCAGUCAGUACCCCUGCUACACGUGCCAUGGUUUCUGUGGUUUUUUUUUUCCCUGGUGGUGCACAUGCAUUUGAUCCUUCCACCCUUUUGUUUCUCCUCACUCAUAGUGUCAGGAACAGUUUUGAUUACAUUAAGUUAUAGUAUAAUUAACUGCGAGGGAAAGGGAUUAAUGUUCACCAACCACAUUAAGUGUUUUCUUCCCUCCCUACCAGGAAAUCCAAUUUUGCAGUGCAUGCAAUCUGGUAACUCCACUCUCCUGCGUUCUUUGAACUGAAGGAAAACAACAGUGGAAAACCAAAGAGAACUUAAUACAAACAAACAGCACUAAACGAAAACAGAUGUCCAGGUGGAAGAAUAAGGAUAUAGCCCAGGACACAAAGACAACUCUUACCUUCUGCGUGUACCUGUGAAAGGAAGAACAUUAUCAUCAUGCUGCAAUUAUUUUCAUCACCUACCAUUUAGUGAAAGCAUGAUAAUCCACUUAUUCAAGACCAUUCUUGUCUCUUGAUAAGUCAACUACAAUUCAUUAUGGAGUGAAUAUAUUCAGGACCUGAUGCAUUUCUCUCUUGCCACCAGCUCUAUCCAGUGGCUGGCCUGGAAGCAAUGGCAUCUAGGUGUCACAUAUGAGAUCAUUAAAAAGAAAAAAUCGAGAAGCUGCAAUGCUGGGAUUUCAACAGUUACAUGGACAGAAGUCUGCAGCAAAACUUCCAUUCUCAGGUAUAUUUUUCCAGUUACAUUAAUGCCCAGUUUUGUAGAUACCUGCAGUAGCCUAUGUAAAGGAAAUCAACAGCCAUUUCUAUGCUUCAGCCUAGUACUUUAGGGCACAAAAUUCAGGCAUAUCUUCAAGUCCUUCUGAGCACACGGUAACACUGAAUUAUAUUGUAACAUUCCAGGUAAGUGUGCUGAUGACUGAAUGACAUGGGAAAGAAACAAGGGCCUCUGGGAUGUCAGACUAAGUCCACUGCUAUCAGGGACACUACAGCACAUAAUUCCUUCUAUCAGAUGUGCAAUGGUCUGAAAAUUGCACUUUUUUUUUCUUUUUUUUUCUUUUUACAUACUAUUGUUUCUCUUUUUAAAGAUAAGGCAGAAUAAUCAAGUUUGAUUAAAUCUGAACUUUUCUUCAAAUUUGGAUCAAGUACUGAUAACUCAGUUCUUCUCAGACUCCCACUCAACACCACAGGUUAGGCAUGCCAUUUAACCCUCUGAAUUACAGCCUCUCAUUAUAUAGAAUUAAAACCUUUCUUAAUCCCUCAGGAAAACAGGUUUGCUCUCCUGUGCUGGAAAGCCUGUUGCAAGGCUGCACACCAAUCAGCUCUUUACAAUGUAACUGCUUCAAAGCCUGCUGCACUCUUGUAAUAACUCAUGCACUCCUCUCUCCCUCCUCCAUGCAGGAACUCUUUCAAGACUUUGUAGAUUAUCUGAUCUAAUAUAUCCUAUAUAGGGAUUGUUACUAGCACAGUAAUUUAUUUAUUUUUUGCAGUUUGCCAGUGUUGAGUUCCAGAACAGUACAGGAGUAAAUUGUAGUAAGACAUAUGGAGAACAGGCUCCAGUGUUCAUAAGGUUAUUGGUUCAUAACUCUGAAUGCCCUAAUCCAGGGCUUCGAGAACUGCAAACAACUGGGCACAAACAGACCUAAACUUCUGAAAGAGUCACCUUCUAUACUGUCUUCAGAUUCCCCUGUGAUUUUUAAUCUAGAUGAUUAAACUGCAGCUGCUGAUCUCAACAAAUUCUUCAGGAGAUACUGUACUUCUGAAAUCUGGAGAUCUUUCCAAAGGCAGAAUUUCAUGAAGCACUGAUAUGUAAGGAAAUAAGUAUGGCAUAGGAUUCUUUCACUUCUUUCAUGGAGGAGCGUUAGAGCUGUGAUUUGUGAAGUUUUGGGGACCCGUAGGUGACUCCUAGGUUUUCCUUACAUUUUCCUGGCUGCAGUUCACUUUUGCUUGCUCUGAGGUUCAGUAUGCAAGCACUCCCCAGCGAGUUUGUGUUCUUCUUUGUUUAUACACUCAAAAAUCCCAGGAUACGUCUAGCUAUUGCUUUCAGUUCAGCAACAUGGUUUCUUGUUCAGUGUGAGCUACCAGCCAAGGAUUCCUAUCCAUCAGCCUGUGUGCUCAUGGGCAUCAAUUAAUUCCCUCCUGUUCACCCAGGAACAUUCACACACAGUGUCCAAAGAAGAGGUGGCUUCCUGUAAUGGAAGUAUAAGCUUCAUUCCUAUCCAGCCUCCCUUCUUGGGCACUUCCAUUUAAUACAGCCCAAAACAGUGAAAACAGUAAUCAAUAUUUUGCUAUAAUCUGUUCCAAGAACAGACCAAUUCACAGACACGUGGUCUGAUUGGGUCUCUUUCUCUUAGACUCUUCUGGGCAACUAAGCCAAUUACUGUGCUGUGCUCUCCAAGACAGACUUCAAAUAAAUUGGCUUUUUAUAUUCAAAGGAUUAGAUACCUCUCUUCAUCCCUUUCCAAGAUGAAGGAAAUGGUAAGCCUGUCACUUUGUAUUUAUCUUGACUCUCUUCCAAAUCAGGCAAAACUUCUAUUCAGAUCUUCUAUUUAUGCCAACUUUCUGAACAAACUGAGGUGCUACACACACACACACACACACACACACACACACACAGUUUCAGUUCCUCAUCCUUAGGCCACCUUAGUGCUGGUGUUCAAAAAGCAAUAACAACUUUCAAGUGCUGUGUCUAACUCCAGAAAAAACAUUGUUUUGAAAGGCACUCCAAAAUACUGCAUUUCAGGAUCCAACUAUUCCCAAGUUUAACCAGUGGAAGCUAAACCAGGACAUAACUGCAUCUAUUGGAGAGGUAGAGGGAACUAUAUUAAUUUUUUCUAGCACUGGACAAUGUGUCCAGUUUUUCCAAAGUCUUAUUAUUUUAUAUUUACAAAAAAAUCUCAUCUUUCCGUAAAACUAGACACUGGAAUACUAAUUACUAAGAAACUUAAGAUAAGGCUCCUGCAAUCCCAUUUUCUUUUUCUGCAUCAUGGAUUUAAAUAUUACGUAGGGUGAAUUUGGCAGCCACACAGAGAAUCUCAUUUAGAAAGAUUAACCUGGGAGCACAGAGAGAUCUGGAAUGUCUCCAUUAGUCUAUUCCUUGCUGCAGAGCAUUUACACUAGAAUAAUUGUUUUUAGCAAGCAUGUGCACACACUCAGAAAUAACAUAUAUAUGCAUUAAAUGAGGCAAUACCUUACCCAGAACAGACGGUCCCUCAACUGUUUGUUUUCUUUUUAUUGUUGAUUUUACAUUUUAAUUAUAUAUAAAAAGUAGAAGAAAGCACAGGUGGUAAGCAGAUUUGGGCUAGAAAAUUAAUUCCCAGAGAAAACAGUUUUAGUUCUUACACAAACAAAUACAGUGAUUAAUUAUUUUUUUGUUUCCCAAGCUGUUACUGUAAGCAAGUAGCAAAGAGUCAAGGCCAGUCAUUUAUAUUCAGAUUAGAUUUCAAAACAAAAAGGACAGACUACAAUCUCCCAAAUGUUUUCUAGAUAUUCCAAUCUGCUCCGCCCAAAAGAAAAAAGAAAAAAAAAAAAAAAGCAAAAAUAAAAGUUUAGAGCACACAAAUGUAAUAAAACAUGUUGUCAAAGCUCCUAUUUACAGUGAUUCACAAAGCUGUUCCCAUUGAUGUCCCAGUACUUUGAUUGCCAAACAAACAACAGCCCUCUACUUGGAAGGCCUGGACCACAGCUCUGUCAAAUUAAUCUGAAGAUCUUGAUUUUCAAAGGCUUUGGAUCAGGCCCAGACUGAAGUGGUGGAGGACAGAGCAGAGAAAGAACAACAACUAUCUAAUUAUAGGCCCGAUCUUGGUGUUUUAUAAUCAGUGACGAAAUGACAAUUAUUUUCACUAGUGCUGGACUGAGUCCUAAAAGGUCUUGCUAAACUAUUCUGCCCCUGCCUGAAGCUCUCUGGAAUAAACAAAGCAGACAGGCUUCACUCAGUAUGGCUAGUCUUCCCCCACCCAGCACACUGUGCCUAUAUUCCUGAUAAAACACAGACUCCGAGUCGUGCAGAAACAGAUAACAGCAUCCCUGCUUCUCACAAAUUUCAGCCCUUGUUACAGGAGGGAGCUUGCCUGGCAGUGACAACAAUACAGCAAAGCUCUGAAGAGAAGAAGGAAGCUGACAACAAUCCUCCUGGAACUAUUCCAGCUCUUCUCUGUUUACACAUCCAAGCUUUUUCUCUCAGUAAUCUCUCCAGACUCCCCUCAGAGAUCGCCUGCUAUUCACUGUGCAGCCAGAAGUCACCUGUUCUUAGCUGGACUUGGCACUGACUACACCAACUGCCAUUUAGGAGAGACAGGAGAGAGAAAAGUUGAAAGAAAAACUUCUGAAAAGCAAUUCCCACCCCAGUGCCCCACAUACAUUUAUCCUUCUAACCUGAAGUCCACUUAUACAUAUUACUUCUGCUUAAGGAAAGUAAUUUCAGUGCCAAAACAUGCUUUUAAGUUUAAAAAAGUGAUAUAUUCAGCACAGAUACAACUCUAGCAUGGUGAACAUGUAGUCAUUACGAUUUAGAUCUAUUGAAAUGGAAAUUGAGACAGAAACUUUUCUAGUUUUUUACUUCACUUUGGAAUUGUAAGAAGACAAGAGCGACUGCAACAGUAUUAAAAGAUCCUCUGGACCAACAUGCCCUUGAUAGCAAGUACUUGGAAGCUUGAGGCACAAUGUUGGCUCCCACUGGUGCCCUUUGGUGUCAGGCAGCGAGGAAGCUGACACCCAUCUAAGGACAGCAUCACAGCCUGGCUGUGCACAGAAAAAAAGCUAGCAAUGAAACAGAGCAACAGGGGCUGUCAAGACGAUGAUCCUUCCCUCUGUCUCAACAAAGUCUCACAGCACAAUUCUCUGCAGUGGCUCAAGGCAGAGACAGUUCUUUUCCGGGAUUCUGUCCUUGUGCAACCCCCACAGGGCAUGAGAAGGUGCCCAGAUCCUGGCAGCUAUUGCUGUAUGCCUGUGGCUCAGAUUUCUGACAAGGGAUUCUGGAAUAAGAUUUCCCUCCCAGCAUAAUGAGGCAUUUAGUCAUUAACAAAAGAGCCUUCUGGGGCAGAACUCCGGCUGCAUCUGAGAUCUUGCCUCCACAAAGAAAUUUCUUUUUCCAGCACACAGGUUUAGUCAGAGGUGGAAAGGAAAGAGUUGCUUUAAAAUACCAAUCCAGGGAUUUUUGGUUGCAGCAGUUGAAGGUUUCUCUUUAUUCUUAGAGCAGGUUCCUUCUCUUUGCUACUGCUUCACAGCUGCCGGUUGAGCUUCUGUGCUUGUCGCUCCUUUGCCUCAAACGCAAACUUGGUGUCCUGCAACUGGGCAAUUGCCUCCUUGGCUUCCUUCAGGUCCUGACAGAUGUGCUCAUACUUCUCUGUCAGCUCCUUGUUCUCCCGGCGCAGCUCCUGUACCACCUGGUUCACCUCCUCUGUCUGCUUGGUGCAGUGGAUCUUCAGCUGCUCUACCUCAGAGAGCAUGAUCUCCAUAUUCUUGACCAGUGACUCUAGUUUCUCCUUUGACAUGAUGUCAGGAUCAGUUCUAUUCAGUCGUCCUAACCCAAACCCAAAAGGGAUAAAGAGAGCAACUCUGUGUAACAUGCACCAGGAAGCCUAAUACUGACAGUCUUGUGGUCUUUUUAUACUCCCUUCUGCUCAUCCUCCUCCCUUCUCUUUCCUUUCCCAAAGUGUCUCUAAUCUUCUUUGCUUGGUUAAUCUACUUAUUUUUACUGCACUGUAGAAGGGCUGACAACCCCACAGCAACAUAUGUGCUGUGCAGCAAAAGCCAGAGCAAUAAUGAGACUCUAUGCCGUCUG